UCUGGCGAUCCGCCGGCGUUAUGUUUGACCCGGCGGGCAGCCACCGGUAAACCUUUAAGUUGGGUUCCGGGGGAAGUAUGGUUGCAAAGCUGAAACUUAAAGGAAUUGACGGAAGGGCACCACCAGGAGUGGAGCCUGCGGCUUAAUUUGACUCAACACGGGGAAACUCACCCGGCCCGGACACCGUAAGGAUUGACAGAUUGAGAGCUCUUUCUUGAUUCGGUGGGUGGUGGUGCAUGGCCGUUCUUAGUUGGUGGAGCGAUUUGUCUGGUUUAUUCCGAUAACGAACGAGACUCUAGCCUACUAAAUAGACACUGGUUCUUUGGACCGGUGAACUUCUUAGAGGGACAAGCGACGUUUAGUCGCACGAGAUUGAGCAAUAACAGGUCUGUGAUGCCCUUAGAUGUCCGGGGCUGCACGCGCGCUACACUGAAGGCAUCAUCAUGUUUCUUUUCCUACCCCGGAAGGGGCGGGUAACCCGAUGAAACGCCUUCGUGAUUGGGAUAGGGACUUGCAAUUAUUUCCCUUGAACGAGGAAUUCCUAGUAAGUGCGAGUCAUCAGCUCGCGCUGAUUAC
rnacentral:rRNA from 1 species